rnacentral:lncRNA from 1 species
GUGCACGUGUAGGGGCAGGGAGUGUGUGGGAACUCUCUGUACUUUCUGCUCAAUUUUCCUGGGAACCUAAAACUGUUCUCAAAAAAUUAAGUCUACUUAAAAAACAAAACAGCCCACUGCGUGGCCCUCCCCAUACUCCCAAAGCUCACACUCUAGUAGGGAGUCAGACACAGAAACAGACACAACCAUGUUGGCAGUCACUGCAAUGAUGAGGCAGCCACAGGGGGCUGUGGAAACUCAAGAGGGGCCACUAUAGUGGCAUCAGGGAAGGCUUCCUGGAGGAGGUGUUGCCUCCAGUGGGUUUUGACGUGCAGCAGGAAUUACCCAGCCGGAGAUCAGGGCACGCACUGCAGGCAGCAUGCUCAAAGGCACCAAGGAGUGAGCUGUUGGGGGAGCAGCGGAAGUUCCUAGUGCAGCGUGGGGGUGCUCCGUGCACAGAUUAAGCUGCGGGCCGCGGGAAACAGGACCCUGGGGGCCCCCUAGAGCCUCGCGGAGUGGCUUGCGGAGGAGCCUCGGGGCCACGGCGUGUGUGCAGCGACACCUGGCGGUGGCAUGCGGAACUGCGGACGGCUGCGCAGGAGCGGACAGCGGAGAGGCGGUACUGACCGGUGCGAGGCGGUGCUGACCGGUGCUGACCGGUGCGGACCGGUGCGGACCGGUGCGGGCCGGUGCCGGCCAGUGCAGGCCAGGCCCGGCCGGGGCGAGGCAGGUGGCCGCGUCCGAGGACCGCGUCGCACAGCAGCUUCCAGGACCUGGAGAGAAAUCGAGACACAGAAACUGAGGCCCAGAAGAGCUGAAUAUUUGGCCCAGGCCACACAGGGAGUCCAGCCACGGGUGAUGAGGGGCUGAGGAUCGGGGAGGGACAGGAAACCUGGCCUUUCUGAGCCUUGCUGUCCUUAUCUGCUGCGUCAGGAGUCCCCUCGCCCUCCUUGGAUUGCAGCAAGGAAAGAGGUGUGUCUUCCGCAGAAAAAUGUGCAUGUUCUUUUAGAUGUGUGGCCUCGGAGCAAGGUAUUUAGCCUGCCUCUAUGUGCUCACCUGGAAAAUGGGGUGAUGAAGAAGAUGAUGAUGAUAAUGGGAACUCCCUCUUGGAGCUGCUGUGCAGAUGAAGAAAAGUGGGCAAGUUUUGAGUUCAACCUGAGGCCUCAAGGAUGUGUGCAACCCAUGGUACUUGAAUUUACUUAUUGACUGUUUUUUUGGAAAUCCUUAUUUCCCAAAACUCGUGGAAGGAGCUGACUUCUGGCAGGAAAUGUGGAACUGGCAGCGUGUCGUGCAAGCAUCUGCAAUCCCAGUCCUGAGCUGGACUUCUCAGAGAGGCUGGGCAUUAUUUAUGGAGAUGUCGGAGUGACAAGGGGAACUUCUGGCCAGGAACUGCCGGUGGUGUCACAUCCUUAACCUGGCUGACAUCGGAACACCCUGGGGGGAGCAUUUCUCCAGGAAAGGAUGGUGGGUCAGGAGCCCGCAUGGUGUCUUUUCAAAGCAAUAAUAAAGAUAUCAGAAGGGCAAUCUGUCAGGCACAGACACUACUGGGCCUUGCUGAAGCUGGGCAGAUGGUGCAGAGGAGAAGAACAGGGCUGGGAACCAGAUGUUUCAUUUCCUGAAAAUAGACAUGUCAGGUCUU